AAAUUGAAGAGUUUGAUCAUGGCUCAGAUUGAACGCUGGCGGCAGGCCUAACACAUGCAAGUCGAACGGUAACAGGAAUCAGCUUGCUGAUUCGCUGACGAGUGGCGGACGGGUGAGUAAUGUCUGGGAAACUGCCUGAUGGAGGGGGAUAACUACUGGAAACGGUAGCUAAUACCGCAUAACGUCGCAAGACCAAAGAGGGGGACCUUCGGGCCUCUUGCCAUCGGAUGUGCCCAGAUGGGAUUAGCUAGUAGGUGGGGUAAA
rnacentral:rRNA from 2 species